rnacentral:rRNA from 1 species
AUGUGGGAGGAGCGGCGUACAGCUCAGUAACACGUGGCUAACCUGCCCUUGGGAUAGGAACACCCCCGGGAAACUGGGGCUAAUUCCCAAUAGGCGGAGAACUCUGGAAUGAGUCUCCACCUGAAAAGACGUUUAGAGCAUGCUUCUAGACGUCGCCCAAGGAUGGGGCCGCGGCCGAUCAGGUUGUUGGUGAGGUAAUGGCCCACCAAGCCUAUUACCGGUGCGGGCCGUGAGAGCGGGAGCCCGGAGAUGGGUACUGAGACAAGGGCCCAGGUCCUACGGGGCGCAGCAGUCGCGAAACCUUUGCAAUACACGCAAGUGUGACAGGGUCAUCCCGAGUGCCGACCGCUGAGGUUGGCUUUUACCCAGUCUAGAAAGCUGGGGGAAUAAGGAGAGGGCAAGUCUGGUGUCAGCCGCCGCGGUAAUACCAGCUCUCCGAGUGGUGUGGACGUUUAUUGGGCCUAAAGCAUCCGUAGCUGGCUGAACAAGUCCCCUGUUAAAUCCACCGAUUUAAUCGUUGGCAUGCGGGGGAUACUGCUCGGCUAGGGGACGAGAGAGGCAGACGGUAUUCUCGGGGUAGGGGUGAAAUCCUAUAAUCCCGGGAAGACCACCAGUGGCGAAGGCUGUCUGCUAGAACGCGCCCGACGGUGAGGGAUGAAAGCUGGGGGAGCGAACCGGGUUAGAUACCCGGGUAGUCCCAGCUGUAAACGAUGCAGACUAGGUGUUUGGACGGCUACGUGCCGUUCUAGUGCCGCAGGGAAGCUGUUAAGUCUGCCGCCUGGGGAGUACGAUCGCAAGAUUGAAACUUAAAGGAAUUGGCGGGGGAGCACCACAAGGGGUGAAGCUUGCGGUUUAAUUGGAGUCAACGCCGGA